UACGGGGGAUGCAAGCGUUAUCCGGAUUUAUUGGGUUUAAAGGGUGCGUAGGCUGUGAGGUAAGUCAGCGGUGAAAUGCCCCCGCUCAACGGGGUGAAGUGCCAUUGAUACUGCCUUGCUGGAAUGCGGAUGCCGUGGGAGGAAUGUGUGGUGUAGCGGUGAAAUGCGUAGAUAUAUGGAGGAACACCGGUGGCGAAAGCGGCUCUCUGGCCUGUAACUGACACUGAGGCUCGAAAGCGUGGGGAGCAAACAGG
rnacentral:rRNA from 1 species